AGUGAACGCUGGCGGUAGGCCUAACACAUGCAAGUCGAACGGCAGCACAGUAAGAGCUUGCUCUUACGGGUGGCGAGUGGCGGACGGGUGAGGAAUACAUCGGAAUCUACUUUUUCGUGGGGGAUAACGUGGGGAAACUUACGCUAAUACCGCAUACGACCUACGGGUGAAAGCAGGGGAUCUUCGGACCUUGCGCGAUUGAAUGAGCCGAUGUCGGAUUAGCUAGUUGGCGGGGUAAAGGCCCACCAAGGCGACGAUCCGUAGCUGGUCUGAGAGGAUGAUCAGCCACACUGGAACUGAGACACGGUCCAGACUCCUACGGGAGGCAGCAGCGGGGAAUAUUGGACAAAGGGCGCAAGCCUGAUCCAGCCAUACCGCGUGGGUGAAGAAGGCCUUCGGGUUGUAAAGCCCUUUUGUUGGGAAAGAAAAGCAGCAGGUUAAUACCCCGCUGUUCUGACGGUACCCAAAGAAUAAGCACCGGCUAACUUCGUG
rnacentral:rRNA from 1 species